GCCCCGGUAGCUCAGCUAGCAGUCCUUAAGGGCUAAAAGCAUCUGCCUCGUAAGCAGAAGGUCGGGGGUGCAAAUCCCUCCCGGGGCU
rnacentral:tRNA from 1 species